rnacentral:snoRNA from 1 species
CGGCAAUGAUGACAAAGUUAUCCGCGCUACUGAGAUUUCCAGUGACGACAAGGAUAAAAAUGGUUGAAUUUCUUGACCUGAGCCA